AAAAAAGAAAUAGAUGCCGUCAUCCUUAUCCCUAACCUCCUGACCCCAACCACCCCACACAUCGUGCCAUGGAUUGUGCCGCCGCCCCGCUCAACGAUCAUGGUCGUCGCUCCCUACCCCAUCCGCCGUCGCUGCACCCCGCAUCAACCCUCUGCCGCCUCCACCGCAAACCAUCUCUCUCCUUGGACCUCUCUCUUGGACCAGUACGGGGCGGCGGCUGCUUCCAGUCGCGUGGUGGCGACAUGGCUGGUCGAGGGAACUCGGGUGAGGCUAACUAUCUAUCUGUCCCCACCUUAUGUUCCUCUUCUUCCAUCGAACAUCACGUCUGCGGUUACUGCCACACACGGCGCUCUCCUCUCCUACAGCGAUCCUGUUGUUCCCCUCCACACAUCGGACCACCAUGGCGCAGAAGUACCCGCAGAAAAUUGUGCUCUGGUAGCAAAUUCGGGUGUUCUAAGUCGGCUACCCGGCAAGUUCAGUUCAAUGUCCUGCACAGUGCACAGUAUAAUGCUACAUUGGAUGGCGCUAUUAAACACUUCGAGUUCAUGUGACAGAGCACAGGAAAAGAACUAUCGAAGGCAGGCCCCACCUCCGAUUGAUAUUAGGAAGGUGGAAGGUUGACUAGCCAUCUCUUCCUCUCCGUCGUCUCUCCAUGGUGUGCAUGUUAAGAACUUAUGCAACAGCGGACAUCAAUUUCAUGCAGCCGAUGGCAUCAACUUUUGUGGAGUGCUCUUCUGGGAUCUGGUACAAGUCCCUCCGACAUAAGAUAAGGUUUGGGCAUGCCAGAGGACAAAGCCAAUAAUCAAUUGCAAACUGAUCGUAUCGUACGCUGUUCACUAUCAACAUGUUUGGUUGGGUGGAAAAGUCCCUUUUCCGAUUCAGCGCUUUCGGAAGACAGUACAAGUCGUUUGGUUCAGCCCUUCUGUUUUAUGUUACGAUGCUAUCAGAUACAGCACUUCACUUCCGCGAAAACGUCCGAUCACGGCUCGAUACAGAAUCAUGUCCACUAAGUAUUCACUCGUGGCUGAGCCAAACAAAAAACAUAUUCUGGAGGAAAUAUUGGAAGCAUCGCUUCCCGAUAUUGAGAAUCGAAAACGAUACAAAUGUGGAACCAAACGCCUCCUAUAUUUCUUCAUCAGUUCCACUGGGAAAAUAUGGAAUGAUUAUGUAUCAAUAAAUCAUGUGUUAGUCCAGACACAAACAUCGAUGUAAAGCUCAAGGUUUGUUAAGUUGUUUGGUUGUACGUGUGACUUGGUUCAUAUACAUAUUGCUAGCUACUUUAUUUUUCGUUCAUUAAUAAUACUAUAUUUAAGAAAAUUACCAUGUUA